UACAGAGGGUGCGAGCGUUGUCCGGAAUCACUGGGCGUAAAGGGCGCGUAGGCGGCUCGGUCAGCGUGCGGUGAAAGCCCGGGGCUCAACCCCGGGUCGGCCGUGCGAACUGCUGGGCUGGAGCACUGUAGAGGCAGGUGGAAUUCCGGGUGUAGCGGUGGAAUGCGUAGAGAUCCGGAAGAACACCGGUGGCGAAGGCGGCCUGCUGGGCGAGUAGCUGACGCUGAUGCGCGACAGCGUGGGGAGCAAACAGGAU
rnacentral:rRNA from 1 species